UCAUGAGUGAGCGGUGGAUGCCUUGGAAUAUUGAGGCGAUGAAGGACGCGACGUAACUGCGAUAAGCUUCGGCGAGGCGUGUAGUAGCCUUUGACCCGGAGAUCUCCGAAUGGGGGAACCCCAAUUUCAUUAAUGAAAUUGAUUGAUAUGAUUAAUCUCAUAUUAAAGCACACCUAGGGAAGUGAAACAUCUCAGUACCUAGAGGAAUAAAGAACAAUCCAUACUUUUUAAGAUAUGGACAUUCCCUUAGUAGCGGCGAGCGAACGGGGAGAAGCUCAAACCUUCUAAUUUUUUAGAGGGGGUUGUAAGGGAGUAUUGUCCGGAGCCUUAUCUUUCCGCAAUCCUUUAAUGCGGAGGGAUAAGAUUACUGGAGGGAGAAUAUUUAGAUAAAUUUGUUAAUAGAACGACUCUGGAAAGAGCGGCCAUAGAGGGUAAUAGCCCCGUAAAUAAAAAUAAAUUUAUGCUCCUUGAUACUUUUCUUGAGUACCUCGAGAAACGAAAGCCUCGGGGGAAUCUGGCAGGACUAAUCUGCUAAAGCUAAAUACUCAAUAUUACCGAUAGUGAACAAGUACCGUGAGGGAAAGGUGAAAAGCAGCCCGGUUAGGGCAAUGAAAUAGACCUGAAACCGCUUACUUACAAGGUGUCAGAGUCUGCCUUUUGGCGGAUCAUGGCGUGCCUAUUGAAGAAUGUGCCAACGACUUUCAACUAUGCCUUUUUCUAAGUGCCUACGGCACGGAGAUAAAGUGAAAGCGAGCGUUAAUAGCGCGUUAUUGAGGCAUGGUUGAAGACCCGAAGCCAGAGCGAGCUUAUUAUGAGCAGGAUGAAGGUUGCAGAAAUGCAACUGGAGGUCCGAACCGGUGGGCCUUGCAAAACCCUCGGAUGACUUGUGAUAAGAAGUGAAAAGCUAAUCGAGCCUGGUAAUAGCUGGUUCUCCUCGAAACAGUUUUAGGACUGGCGUCUAUCAGAUUUCUGGAGGUAGAGCACUGACUGAUUUGUCCGUGGCCUUCGGCCAGACAAAUCAAACAAACUCCGAAUGCCGGAAUUUAAAACCUGAUAGGCAGUUAGUCUCUGGGGGCUAAGCUCCAGGGACAAAAGGGAAACAGCCCAAGACCUUCGUCUAAGGUCCCUAAAUUUGAUCUAAGUGCACUCAAGGAGGUUAGGUUUCAUAAAUAGUUAGGAGGUUAGCUUAGAAGCAGCUACCCUUUAAAAAGUGCGUAAUAGCUUACUAACUAAGAAAUCUAGCGCCGAAGAUUUCCGGGGCUAAAGAUCAAUACCGAAAACAAGGACACCAUCUUUAUUGAUGGAAUGUGGUAGAGGAGCGUUCCUUACGUCUGCGAAGGUGAAGCGUGAGCUUUGCUGGAGAUACGGGAAGUGCGAAUGUUGGCAUGAGUAACCUGCAAUUUUGAUGAAAACUCAAAACACCGUAAGCCCAAGGUUUCCUUGGCAAUGAUAAUCAACCAAGGGUUAGUCGGUCCUAAGGUGAACCCGAGCGGGGUAGCCGAUGGACAGCUGGUUAAUAUUCCAGCACUUCGACAUGGUUUUUAUGCAUUGACGAAUUUUAGUAAUUUAGGUGGGUUAGUGAUUUCCCAUUUAUGUCGUGAGACAACAAGCGAUGUAUGAAGUUUUUCCCUCGGGAGAAGCAACCUAAACGAGCAAGAUUCCAAGAAAAUUUGCAUAGAGCUAACUAUGUCGGAACCGUACCGAUACAACCGACUCUGGUGGGCCAGUAUCAGUGUACUGAGGUGAACGAGUAAAGCUUCGUUAAGGAACUUUGCAAUCAAGCGGUCGUAACUUAGGAAUAAGACCUGCCGUCGCAAGACGGCUGCAACCAAAGUUGUCCAAGUGACUGUUUAACAAAAACACAGCUCCCUGCUUAACUCGCAAGAGGAUGUAUAGGGGGUGAGGCCUGAUCAAUGCUGGAACGUUAAAGAUGGCGGUGCAUGCCUUUGGUAUGUGCUGACUGUCCUAAGCGCCAGUCAAUAUCGGCGGUAACUAUAACCGUCUAAAAGUAGCGUAGUCCCUUGCCGGGUAAGUUCCGGCCCGCAUGAAUGGCUUAACAACUUGGACGCUGUCUCAACGAAGUGCUCGGUGAAAAUGCGACACCGGUGAAGACGCCGGUUUCCCGUGGCUAGACGGAAAGACCCUAGAAGCUUUACUAUAAGCUCUCAUUGGCUUGUCUCUUUUGCUGCGUAGUGUAGUGGGUAGGAUUUGAAGCCGCCUUUUCGGAGGUGGUGGAUCCGACAAUGAAACACCCAUCUGUAAAAGCGACAAAUCUAACUUUACCUGAUUAGUAAAGGACAGUUGGAGCCUGGUAGUUUGAGUGGGGCGCUCGCCUCCUAAAAUGUAACGGAGGCGUCCAAAGGUCAGCUAACUCCGGAUGGAAAUCGGAGUGAUACUGUAAAGGGAAAAGCUGGCUUUACUGCAAGACGGAUAUGUCGCGCAGUCGCGAAAGCGUGGCUUAGUGAACCGAUGAAUUUUUUUAGGAAAUUCAGAGAUCAUCAGACAAAAGCUACUCUAGGGAUAACAGGCUGGUAGUGCCCGCGAGUUCACAUCUACGGCACUGUUCGGCACCUCGAUGUCGGCUCAACUUAUCCUGGGGGUGGAGAAGCUCCCAAGGGUUUGGCUGUUCGCCAAUUAAAAAGUUACGCGAGCUGGGUUCAGACCGUCGUGAGACAGGUCGGUCCAUAUCUACCAUGGGCGUUGGAUUUUUGAGAAGACUUGACAGUAGUACGAGAGGACCCUGUUGAACUAACCUCCGGUGUACCAGUUGUUCCAUCAGGAGCAUCGCUGGGUAGCUGUGUUAGGAAAGGAUAAACGCUGAAAGCAUCUAAGCGUGAAGCCUACUUCAAGAUUAGAAAUCCUUAUAGACCCCUCACAGAUUAUGAGGUUGAUAGGCUGUAGAUGGAAGCGCAGCAAUGCGUUAAGUCGAGCAGUACUAAUGGUCGAGCUUAGCUA
rnacentral:rRNA from 1 species